CCAGCUGGGGCCGCACCAGCUACAUGCACAGUGAUAUCCUGGGCAUGUACAGACUCAAGUGUGCAACACAGCCUGUCUAGCCGUACAGAUGAGCGUGGAUGUUACAGUCUGCAGACCUCGGGCCCUUCCUGAACAGGGUCAUUUUAGGGAAUAAAAAUCAACCAGCUCAGCAGGAUUGUACAGCAAGUACCUACGGAGCCACAUGGAGCCAUGGAGCCAUGGAGCCAUGGAGCCAUGGAGCCACGGAGCCAUGGAGCCACGGAGCCACGGAGCCACCCUGCCAGCCCCUCUCUUUUAUUGUAUUUCUACGUGUGUCUGUUUGGUAUUAAGGACUGAACCUAGGGCUUAAUUCAUGCUAGAUAAGCAAGUUCCCUACCACAAGGCUAUCAGCCCAGCUCACGUAUUAUUUCAUUUUGAGACAAGGCCUCACUAAAUUGCCCAGGUUGGCCUUGUACUCACUCAGUAGUUCAAGCUAGUCUUAAACUGUCAAUCCUCCUGUCUCAGCCUCCCAUGUACCCAGGAUUACCGGCCUGUGUUAACAGGCCCAGCUAAAAGCCUUUCUUAGCUUGCAGGCUGGAUUUGGCCUGCUGGGUGUGUCUUGAGAGCCCCUGGACCUCAGCCAAUUAAGCUAUGUCAUGUAGUGAUAGUCAGUUUCACCUUGGCCUUUUGAGAUGUCAACAUGAUGUCCCUGAAGAAAGACUGAGAGAGAGAGGAACAGCCAUGCACAAUUAUGUGCUCUCUCCCCCUUGAAGAUACAGUCAAUGUUAGUACUUUGAAGAACACAGAUAAUAGCAAAAUGUAGUAAUAAUUAGCAAGUGACUAUAAAUCACUUUUGUUUUUUAAAUAAUUUAGUUAAUUAUAUGUUUGUGUAAAUUAACUAAUGUAUGAAACAAGCAGUCUUGCAGAGUCCCUGAAGAUUUAGCACGUGGCUCCCUUUGAGCCUGCUGGCAGGUCUCCAGCACACCAUGCACAUACUUACUGGACCUGCCCUCGUGGCUCUCCCUGGCAAAUGCCAACUGGCUCUUCCAGCUCAGGAUCCACAGAACCUGCCUCCCUUGGACUGGGUGUGAUGCCUUCUGUGGGUUCCCACAGCUGUAUGGGCUUCCUUGAGUCAGGGCUAAUUUCUUGUGAGCUUUCUUUUGGAGGAAGAAGCGGCACAAGGACCCACAGUUUGCUCACUGUAGAAUGCACAGGAAAAGCAGGGCAGGCAGAAGACCCUUGAUAAAUAUGUGUACAGUGACUUAGGGACAGAAAGAUGGGAUCUGAGAUCAGGAAAGUAAGGUGGAGAGAGGAAUUGAUCCCAGGGCCUCAGAGAAGGCACAGUCAGUCAGAUGCCCCUCAGUUACUGUGAGGGCCUCCCGGCAGGUGGGUCUCAGCAGGCUUUUGGCAUCCUGAAGUGCCACUGUGUUCCCAAGUCCAGGCACCCCCUUUCCACCCCAUUCAGCUCAUGUCACAGCUGUGUUUUCUUUCAGCUCCCCAGGACUCGAGCAGAAACACAUAUGGGGAGUCUCCAGGCUUCACGUUUGGGUUGUCAUCGAUAAAUAUGGACCAAGGAGGUUCUCCCCAUGCCAUAGACGAACAACCGAGGAACAUCCAGAUACGGCCUGGGUGUUUUCCCAGGCUAUGAGUUCCCCAAACCCAAGCUGAGGCUACAGUUUUCCCCAGCCACCUCCCCUGACUCCGAGUCCCUCUCUCUGGGGGCAGGGCUGGCUGCUGUGGCUUUCUCCUUCCCUCCUCAGGAGCAGCGCAAAUAAGGAGGCCGCUGGCUCACGAUUCCUGACCUGCCAUUACCUGGCCUCCCUGUCACCUAACUUGAAUUCCUCCUGCUUCCUUCCCUGCCUCUGCCUUCCCUUCCCUCAAGCAAUGACCUCACAAGGGGUUGUUCACCACCCGCUAGCUCUCCCCCAGCCCUGUGGCAGAGAUGUGACCCAGCCCAGCCCAGCGUCUGUCUCCUCACUUCUCAGAAGCAGUCCCCUAAUGAGGGCAGCCUGUCUGCAGGAGCCGUUCUCCAGCCUUGACCUUUCCCGGGGUUCCACCUCUGUCUCCACUCCCUAUAACUAGUAUGCGCACCCCACCCCACAGCCUCGCUCCGCUGUCCACCUGUCCAGACUUGCCUUCUGUCCUGCUACCAAUGUGCCCAACCCAGGCCAUCCCCUGUGGUAGAAAGUCUCACUGAAAUCAGAGAGCAGCAGGAAGAAGCUUCUGAAGGGCGCAACUUUGUCUCCAUGGCCGACAUCCCUUCCCCAGCCUGGCCAGUUUUGUGAAUGGCUCAGAGGCCUGGUUCACCAUGCACCAGUUUUUCUAAUAGGCAAAGUAAGGAUCUGAGAGUUGGCUCUGAGCUCCGAGGUUUGGUGGCAGGACCAGAUCCCCAGGCCACAUCCCACAGAGCUCCUACUCUGCCCAGAAAGUCCUUCUUCCCACAGCCAGCCUCCAGCCAGGAGACUUAAGGGGUUCCCCCGAUGAUCUUCAUUGCCACAGCUGCUGGGAAGUGGCCCUGCACGGGAAGAGGACAUCCUCAUCCUGCAGUGCUUGAGGAGGCUGGAUCCUGGUUUAGUGGUGUGGGCGGAAGACAGACCAGUGCACCUAGGAACCAGGGUGUUUUACCAAGCAACGUGCUAAGCUCACCUCCACAUAGCCUGGUGGAGAGACUGCAUCAGCGUUAGAGAACUAGAAACCACUACAACCACUGACCAAUCUGCGAAACUCGAAGGUUGACCCCCAGCACCAUGACCUUGGUGGGGGGGGGGACCAGCUAAAAAUUAGUCUAUCCCUAUGUGUCAUUAUGGGCAGCAAAUCAAAUUAACAUCAGAGAUAAGAUACACAAAUAGGAGGACCACUCCCAUGGCCUCACAGUUCACACCGCUGCUCCUAACUAUAUUUCAACCCCAUUUCCGCCCGUCAGAUCCACACUGUUUCUUUUAUGUUUGGUUGGUUUGGAGUUUUGAGACGGGGUCUCAAGUAGACCAGGCUGGUCUCAAACUCCAUCUGUAGUUGAGGAUGACCUUGAACUCAUCCUCCUGCCUCUACUUCCAAGUGCUAGGAGUAGUUGUGGGCCACAUGUCGGACACCUUUUAAUUCUUGUCAGUGUUUCUGAGGCGGAGUCUCACUGAGUAGCCCUGGCUGUCCUGGAACUCACUCUGUAGACCAGGCUGGCCUCGAACUCAGAGAUCCUCCACCUCUGCCUCCCCAGUGCUGGGACUAAAGGGUACGCCACCAUCACCCAGCAAUUUUUUUCAAACUUUACUAAGAUGUUGUAGUAAGUAGCCCGGAGGAUUUAAAUCAAUACGUAUUGAUCAAAAUUGGCUGUAAAGCUAAUAAACGUCUCUGCGAAAGGUCGGACUCCCA